rnacentral:rRNA from 1 species
UACGAAGGGGGCUAGCGUUGCUCGGAAUCACUGGGCGUAAAGGGUGCGUAGGCGGGUCUUUAAGUCGGGGGUGAAAGCCUGUGGCUCAACCACAGAAUUGCCUUCGAUACUGUAGAGCUUGAGACCGGAAGAGGUAAGUGGAACUGCGAGUGUAGAGGUGAAAUUCGUAGAUAUUCGCAAGAACACCAGUGGCGAAGGCGGCUUACUGGUCCGGUUCUGACGCUGAGGCGCGAAAGCGUGGGGAGCAAACAGG